rnacentral:lncRNA from 10 species
AGCUUUCCAAACUCAGCAGAGCACACAUCAGAGUGUGUUUAGUUCAUCUGGGCUGGUGAGUUCCAGUGAUGAAAGCCUGGUGCUAAUGGAGGCGAGGUCACCGGUUCAAUCCUCAUAGGACCCAGUUCACUUACAAGAGAAAAAACACUACUCAAGAACCAGAGACACCUCCUGACCCCAGUCACUGACCACAAGAAGGAUGGGGUGAAAACGAUGGCUGACCCAGGGCAAAACCAUCUGAUAAACAACUCAGACAGCACACCCCCAACCCCCAGCAGGAGAAGCCAGCACCUUCUAGUUUAAGGAUUUUAUAAAACCGCUUUUAUAAAAAUCCCUGCGGACAAGUUCACAGUAGCUUGUUUCUCAGUCCAGUUUGAUUUUUUAAAGGUACCCUCCAUGGGACAGAACUCUGCUUACAAACUUUAAAACUGGAUGAUGCAAAAAUUACCUGCACAGCAGAGGAGGACAACGAACCAUAGUAAGUUUAAGUGAUGGAUUCUUUAAUCUAUCAUUAAUUUGUACAGAUAAGUCAAAGAAAGGUAGUAGCAGAUACGGAGCCCUCGCCGUGUACGCAACGCUUGACAUCCUUUCUCACUGAGUCCCCUUGAUGAAUCAAAACUCUUCCUAUUUCAGGAUGGGCUGAGUGUUCAUAUUGCCUCACCUUUCAUCAAAGCACCAUCUGGGAACCAGAACUUGGCAUUUGAGAAAAAUCAGAGAUGACUAAGAAUAAGAACAAUCUCAUCAGGAGAAGUAAGUAUUUUAUUGUUUAUUUGUAUUACAGGAAUUGAGAACAGAAAGGAUCAUUAAACAUCACCUACUCCAAAUGCAUUCGUUUCCAGAACUCCACAAGCAAGGGCAGAGCCCAGGACUCCUGUUGCCUGAUUUUGUGCCUGAGGAUCUUGGCUCUUGAAGCAGGAGAACCUUCAGUGUAUGUUAGAAACUUCUGGGAGGGCUUGGCCAAGAUACAAGCUCUGGAUCCCACCACGGAGAUUCUGCUUCUGCAGGCUGAGGUCUGUCCAGGAAACAGCAUUUUAAUAAGCUCAGAUUCUGAUUUGGAUGAUCUUUGAAACAAACCAAAGCCCAAUACACACAAGCUUCCCAAUCACUUGCAGUUAAUUUUCACAAACGUUUUCUUAUAUUCAUUAUUAAUCUAGAAAAAAAGCAAUAAAUAUUUUCUAAGCACUUCUUUUUAGAAAUUAUUUUUAUUAUGGUUACAUAUAUGAAA